GGAGGUAGUGACAAUAAAUCACAAUGCGGGACUGUUAGUCUUGCAAUUGGAUUGAGAACAACGUACAACUCUUAUCGAUAAGCCAUUGGAGGGCAAGUCUGGUGCCAGCAGCCGCGGUAAUUCCAGCUCCAAUAGCGUAUAUUAACGUUGUUGCAGUUAAAAAGCUCGUAGUUGAAGUGAGGGAGUGUGUGGGUAUGAGAGCUAGUCUCAAGUACUUACAACCUCCCCCUUCCAAUCGGUGUAGUGGGGUAUUCAGUUAUUCUACUACUCCUUUGGUCGUUUACUGUGAGAAAAUUAGAGUGUUCAAAGCGGGCGUUUGUUUGAAUAGAUUAGCAUGGAAUAAUGAUUGAAGGCUUUCGUGUUCGAUUUGAUUGGUUUGUUCAUGGAAGCAAGGUUAAAAGGAACAGUUGGGGGUAUUCAUAUUCACUAGUUAGAGGUGAAAUUCUCGGAUUUAUGGAAGAUGAACAAGUGCGAAAGCA
rnacentral:rRNA from 1 species